UGCAACGAUUACCCACCGAACUAAACUAACCACCAGGUUUUGUGAAAAGAAAAGACAAGACCAACCUAACUCUCUCACUACAUAACUAAGAAGGCGUCCACUACCCUCUUUUAUCGAGUAAGAGCUCGUCAAAAAUUGUUUUGCCAAGAAAAAAGAAAGAACAGACCUGGGCCUUAUGAAAGUUGGGCUUCUACCAAAAACUUUCCUUUUGGGCUGAGAUAGAUUGUCUAAUGGGCUGCAGGGGGGUGAAAAGCGUUCUUGGGCAUGGCCCAAUCCGGGAACAUUCAGCAGGAUUAGGUUAAGCAGUUUUCUCUUUGUCUUCCUCCCCAUCUGCGGCGGCGGAUCGAAGAUUCCGGUCAACACAGAUUGGAGUUCCGAGGCAAGAUCUAGUAGGGUUAGAGAUUCUAAAGAUGAUGAUCGAUCUGCUGUGUUUGAUUCUUCCGUCGUCGUGUGCUCUGGUCCCGCAUCAUCCAAGCAAAGAACUUGGUAGAAGGAUUUGAAUCCCACGGUGAGGGGUCAGGAGGUGCUGGAUUAGUCAUCGAGGGGAGCCGAC